rnacentral:rRNA from 1 species
UAUAAGCAAUUAUACAGCGAAACUGCGAAUGGCUCAUUAAAUCACUUAUCGUUUAUUUGAUAGUACCUUACUACAUGGAUAACCGUGGUAAUUCUAGAGCUAAUACAUGCUAAAAAUCCCGACUUCGGAAGGGAUGUAUUUAUUANAUUAAAAACCAAUGCCCUUCGGGGCUCUCUGGUGAUUCAUGAUAACUUCUCGAAUCGCACGGCCUUGCGCCGGCGAUGGUUCAUUCAAAUUUCUGCCCUAUCAACUUUCGACGGCUGGGUCUUGGCCAGCCGUGGUGACNACGGGUAACGGGGAAAANGGGGAAUAGNCACCUUAUAAUCNGGGAAUAGCAAAUAUAAGUGACGAUUCAUUCNAAUUUCUGCCCCAUCAACUCUCGAUGGUAGGANANANGUCNACCAUGGUCGCAACGGGUAACGGGNAAUA